ACGAAGCAUUUGGGUGUGCGGGGGAUUACCGAAUGGCUGCUCUCUUCUCCCUGACCUGCGUCGUCUCCCCCAAACCCUCGCUUCCGGUCCCCGUUCGGAGCUCGAACGCCCGAUGGCGGUGGGAGUCGGUUGCUUCGAGAGUUGUGUUGCAGCCUGAGACGCGGAGAUCGAGAGUUGUCGCUCUGGUUUCCCAGGCUUCCCGGGUCGUCUUCCGUGACCUCGACGCCGAUGAUUUCAGGCACCCCCUCGAUAAGCAGAAUACUCUGCUGCUGAGGACAAUUCCUGGGUUGAAUGAACUUGGCAAGGCGUUGUUAGGACCAAUGACAGAGCAAGUAAUGCUUCUUGAGAACAUAGGAACAUCAGUACUUGUUUCUGAAAACCAGCUCCCCGGUCUUCAUAAAUUGAUGAUUGAGGCGGCAAAAGUACUAGACACUGAAGCUCCUGAUCUUUAUGUCCGCCAGAAUCCUGUUCCAAAUGCAUACACCUUGGCAAUUAGUGGUAGGAAACCAUUUAUAGUUGUUCACACUAGCCUUGUGGAGCUUCUUACUAGAAGAGAACUACAGGCCGUUUUGGCUCAUGAGUUGGGCCACUUAAAAUGUGACCAUGGGGUGUGGCUUACAUUUGCAAACAUAAUUACACUUGGAGCUUACUCUGUACCUGGCCUUGGUGGGUUGAUUGCCCAGAGUUUGGAAGAACAGCUUUGUAGGUGGCUUCGAGCUGCUGAGCUAACUUGCGAUAGGGCGGCUCUCCUUGUUGCACAAGAUCCAAAGGUGGUCAUCUCUGUUUUGAUGAAACUGGCUGGAGGGUGUCCAUCUCUUUCUGACCAGCUAAAUGUAGAUGCAUUCUUGGAGCAAGCUCGCUCAUAUGACAAGGCUUCUUCCAAUCCCAUUGGUUGGUACAUCAGGAAUGCUCAAACGAGGCAGUUAUCCCACCCCUUGCCUGUUCUACGUGCCCGUGAAAUUGACGAGUGGUCAAGGGGUCAGGAAUACAAAUAUCUACUGAAGCAUGCUAUCCAACUGGAAGAUUCUCUAAAGCCUAGAAAUACCUUUGUGCGGUGAAGAUUGCGAUGAUGUUUUAAAUGCUUAAUGUUGAAAUUAAACCAGAAGGAUAGACCUAUCAAAAUGGGCAAGGACUGUAGGUGAAGGGAUUGUGGCAGAUAUUGCACACCGGGAUUCCUCGGGAGAAUCUGGAGGCAGAUAUCUCAUAUGUCUCAAUGAAGGAAUUGAUUGGAAGGCAGAAGCUAGCAAGCCUUACUCAAGAUGAUAAGGAUAACAGAUAAAACCAGGGGAAGAAAUUUAGAGAGUUGAAAGAAGCUAAGCCUCUGAAAGUGACCAGUGCCUGCUUGUUCACCUCACAAGACAACAACAGUAAUAAUCUCUUUGCAUUUGAUCUUUCUAUUUCAAUCAAUUUCUAUUGAUAUGAAUCCAAUUGAAAAGGAUAGGACCCUCACCCC